rnacentral:rRNA from 1 species
CCUACGGGACGCAGCAGUGAGGAAUAUUGGUCAAUGGCCGCAGGGCUGAACCAGCCAAGUCGCGUGAGGGAUGACGGUCCUAUGGAUUGUAAACCUCUUUUGUCAGGGAGCAAAGUGCGCCACGUGUUCCUUUUUGCGAGUACCUUAAGAAAAAGCAUCGGCUAACUCCGUGCCAGCAGCCGCGGUAAUACGGAGGAUGCGAGCGUUAUCCGGAUUUAUUGGGUUUAAAGGGUGCGCAGGCGGAAUGUCAAGUCAGCGGUAAAAUUUCGUGGCUCAACCCCGUCGUUCCGGUUAAACUUGCUUUC